CUGAAUACAAGUGGGCCCAGUGAUUAAAUCAGGCCAAGGGCCUUAUUCAGAACCCAAUUAAACAUCGGGCCUGAAUGCAAAUGGGCCCAGACCUGAACCAGAGGGCAAUUUGGUUAAACCAGAAGUGGAAUUGGUUCAGACCUGCACCAGAAGCUGGAUCAGAUCUGAACCAGAAGCUGAAUCAGAUCUGAACCAGAAGCUAAAUUAGACCAGAACCAGAAAUUGAAUUGGGCCAUGGGCUUGAACCAGAAAUUGAAUUAGGCUAUGGACCCGAAAAUGAAAUUGAGUCCUAUGGAUGGGCUGUAAAUGACUUUAAGAUUAUAAAUAAAUAGAAAUUAAAUGU
rnacentral:lncRNA from 1 species